UACGGGGGGGGCAAGCGUUGUUCGGAAUUACUGGGCGUAAAGCGUGCGCAGGCGGUUCGUCAAGUCUGAUGUGAAAGCCCCGGGCUCAACCUGGGAAUGGCAUUGGAAACUAGCGGGCUUGAGUGUGGCAGAGGGGGGUGGAAUUCCACGUGUAGCAGUGAAAUGCGUAGAUAUGCGGAGGAACGCCGAUGGCGAAGGCAGCCCCCUGGGCUAGCACUGACGCUCAGGCACGAAAGCGUGGGGAGCAAACAGG
rnacentral:rRNA from 1 species